CAAGUUCGAGGAACCCCGGCAGAAGUAUUGGCUUCUAUCAACAUGCAUCCAAAUAUGUUCCUGCUUACUUUAUUACUUGUUCUUGAAGGAGCACGUGCAGCUGGUGAUGUGGAGGCUAGACGCGAUCAACCAGAAUGUGACGCCAGGAAUGUCGUAUGCCAAUAUCCAGCUGGUUGCCAGUGUCCCCAUAAUUUAGGCUAUGGACAGAUGAUACCUGCUUUCUUUCACUAUGACACAGACCGAAAUGUGUGCCUGCAAAGCGGGGAGGUUUACAACUGCAACUCAUUUACGACGAGAUUCAUGUGCGAGCAAAACUGCAUAAAUCGAGCUCAUCAAGGUUAAUCGCGUAUGUUAUUAGGAUUGCGUACAACAAACGCCGCUAUAAAAUACCUGAUAAUAUGAAUAUGAAGACAGUGUGAGCUUCUUUAUGCGUUUCACGGAAAAGUGAUGCGAUCAGUAUAUCUUCUUGUGGUUUCCAAUGUUCGGUCUAC